rnacentral:misc_RNA from 1 species
GCAAACUUGGUCAUUUAGAGGAAGUAAAAGUCGUAACAAGGUUUCCGUAGGUGAACCUGCGGAAGGAUCAUUAUUGAAUAAAAACUUGGUCGGGUUUGUUGCUGGCUCUUAGGAACAUGUGCACACUCGCUCCAUUUUUAUAUCCCCCAUGUGCAUCUUUUGUAGAACUGAAACAAUUCAAGUCUAUUUGACUUGGUUGGAGAAUCGCAAAGCUCUUGUUUGCCUUUCUUGUAUUUCAGAUCUAUGUUUAAUAUUUAAACGCUGUAACAGAAUGAUAUAGGCUUUUAUUUGUGCCUGUAAACAAAAAAAUAAUACAACUUUCAACAACGGAUCUCUUGGCUCUCGCAUCGAUGAAGAACGCAGC